rnacentral:rRNA from 1 species
GACGAACCGUGCGAACGUUGUUCGGAAUCACUGGGCUUAAAGGGCGCGUAGGCGGGUCUGCAAGUCGGAGGUGAAAGCCCGCAGCUCAACUGUGGAAGUGCCCCCGAUACUGUGGAUCUCGAGGGAGGUAGGGGCGUGCGGAACUUCCGGUGGAGCGGUGAAAUGCGUAGAUAUCGGAAGGAACACCGGUGGCGAAAACGGCGCGCUGGACCUCUUCUGACGCUGAGGCGCGAAAGCCAGGGGAGCAAACGGG